UUAAGUUCUACAACGUGCAAACCAUGUUGUCAACUUAUUUCAUUUUUUUAAAGGAAAUAUACGCAAAAAUUAUGCGGGAGAACUCCCUCUCUCUCAAAAUAUUAAAACAUUCGAAAGUUUUUUAAAACCCCUCUUUUUUCUGAAUAAUAUUUCACAGCCCCUCUUUCUUUUGCAAAUCACUCUCACACUGCUAAACCUAGGGAAAAAUCCAAUAUCCCAACCUCUUUUGCUCCAUCCCAGCCAUCUCUCUCUCUCUCUCUCUCUCUCUCUCUCUCUCUCUCUCUCUCUCUCUCACUCAUGGAUCCUCUCUUUGCUCAUCAUCCACUGCCUCUGUCAUUGCCAACUUCACAGCCUCUCAAUCUCUUAUCGCCGUCAUCAAAUCCCUCAAUGCUUUGCUCUCUCAUCGCGAACCGCUACUUCUUUUGUCUUAGAUCUACAAUUCUUAAGGCCAAUCCUAAUAUUUGUUGUUCUUUGCAGGUAUUGGCCUUCAUCACCGAGCCCACCAGCAUCUCUCCACCACUAACUUUCUCAGCCUCAUUUAGGAAAAAAUUGAGUGGCCUCCAGGUUUUGAUACUGGUUUUGUGCUGAUUACAUGUGUUGAUUUUGGUAAGCUUUCAUCUUUCAAAAGCUGUCCCUUUAAUAGGGGAAGAAGAAAAUAGAAGGAAAGGGCGCAUUAAGGGUCCUCCCGUUGGACAGAUAUUGA